UACGUAGGUGGCAAGCGUUAUCCGGAAUCACUGGGUGUAAAGGGAGCGUAGACGGCUGAGCAAGCCUGAAGUGAAAGGCGGGGGCCCAACCCCCGGACUGCUUUGGGAACUGUACGGCUGGAGUGCAGGAGAGGUAAGUGGAAUUCCUAGUGUAGCGGUGAAAUGCGUAGAUAUUAGGAGGAACACCAGUGGCGAAGGCGGCUUACUGGACUGUAACUGACGUUGAGGCUCGAAAGCGUGGGGAGCAAACAGG
rnacentral:rRNA from 1 species